rnacentral:rRNA from 1 species
CUCUGUGUUACGGGAUGAAUUGAGCGUUGCUGAUAACGCAGCGUUUUUGACGUUACCGUAGUAGAAAGCCCCAGCUAACUGCGUGCCAGCAGCUGCGGUAAUACGUAGGGGGCAAGCGUUGUCCGGAAUCACUGGGCGUAAAGCGCGCGCAGGCGGUGGUGUAAGUCAGACGUGAAAGGGUUCGGCUCAACCGGACCACUGCGUUUGAUACUGCAUCACUUGAGUCUAGAAGAGGAAAGUGGAAUGUAUGGUGUAGCGGUGGAAUGCUUAGAUAUCAUAUAGAACACCUGUGGCGAAGGCGGCUUUCUGGUCUAAGACUGACGCUCAUGCGCGAAAGUUUGGGGAGCAACCGGGAUUAGAUACCCCGCUAGUCCUUACUGUAAACGAUGGGUACUAAGUGUAGGGGGGUUGAUUCCCUCUGUGCUGUAGCUAACGCAUUAAGUACCCCGCCUGGGGAGUACGGCCGCAAGGUUAAAACUCAAGGUAAUUGACGGGGGGCCGCACAAGCGUUGGAG